rnacentral:rRNA from 1 species
GACGAACGCUGGCGGCGCGCUUAACACAUGCAAGUCGAACGGAAAGGCCUGCUUUCCCUUGUGGAUUGCGGGUACUCGAGUGGCGAACGGGUGAGUAACACGUGAGUGAUCUGCCCCCAACUUGGGUAUAAGCCUGGGAAACUGGGUCUAAUUCCCGAUAGGACUGCAGGGUGGUGCCUGUGGUGGAAAACGAUUUUCUAGUGGUUGGGGAUGAGCUCGCGGCCUAUCAGCUUGUUGGUGGGGUAAUGGCCUACCAAGGCGGGGACGGGUAGCCGGCCUGGGAGGGUGGACAGCCACAUUGGGACUGAGAUACGGCCCAGACUCCUACGGGCGGCAGCAGUGGGGAAUAAUGCACAAUGGGCGGAAGCCUGAUGCAGCGACGCCGUGUGGGGGAUGUCGGCCUUCGGGUUGUAAACUCCUUUCGACCGCGAGGAAGCCACCUGGUUGGAAGGGUGGUGACGGUAGUGGUAGAAGAAGCACCGGCUAACUACGUG